GCGCACGGGUGAGUAACAUGUGGGAAUAUGCCUUUUGGUACGGAACAACGUUUGGAAACGAACGCUAAUACCGUAUGGUCCCUUCGGGGUAAAGAUUUAUCGCCAAAAGAUUAGCCCGCACUAGAUUAGCUAGUUGGUGAGGUAAGAGCUCACCAAGGCGACGAUCUAUAGCUGGUCUGAGAGGACGAUCAGCCACACUGGGACUGAGACACGGCCCAGACUCCUACGGGAGGCAGCAGUUAGGAAUAUUGGACAAUGGGCGCAAGCCUGAUCCAGCCAUGCCGCGUGAGCGAUGAAGGCCUUCGGGUUGUAAAGCUCUUUAGCCGACGAAUAUAAUGACUGUAGUCGGAGAAUAAGCCCCGGCUAACUUCGUGCCAG
rnacentral:rRNA from 1 species